rnacentral:rRNA from 1 species
UACGUAGGGUGCAAGCGUUAAUCGGAAUUACUGGGCGUAAAGCGUGCGCAGGCGGUUCGCUAAGACAGAUGUGAAAUCCCCGGGCUUAACCUGGGAACUGCAUUUGUGACUGGCGGGCUAGAGUAUGGCAGAGGGGGGUAGAAUUCCACGUGUAGCAGUGAAAUGCGUAGAGAUGUGGAGGAAUACCGAUGACGAAGGCAGCCCCCUGGGCCAAUACUGACGCUCAUGCACGAAAGCGUGGGGAGCAAACAGG